GCAUUUCAUGGAAGGAGAGCUCGACUGCUUACAGUGCUGGAUCUGCUUAUUUCUCAACCCUAUUAGAAGAAAACAAACACAACCCGAGGUAUUUAAUUAGGUGAACAACUAAUCAACCGAAGGAUUAAUCAUCACGUUAUGGCAGGACUCUUCUGGCUCACUGGCGGUCCGUCUGACACGGCUCGUGUUCAGCAGAUGCGAGUGUGUGUGCAGGACAGGCUGGAUACCGCUAUAAACAUCUAAACUUACGCCAUCGUUUUCAAACACGUCCGGUUUCCCGGUCCACACUACAACAGUUUCCGCAUGCGUCCGCUUUGGGGAGAUCUCAUUAAUGCAAUGGCGAAGCGCUGAACAUGAAGAUCACAGACAGAAGCUCUGGAAGCACCUUUAUUAACAUCACCAGACAUCAUCGCAGACGAGAGCGAGCACACACACACGCCACUGUCAUCAGCGCGUGUCUGGAUAAUCAUCAUCCAAAACAUCAAUCACAAACAGCCAAUCAGAACGCAAGAACAAGAUAUCAGAGUGUGCGUCUCAUUGGUCGAUUAAAAACACAUGAUUGGAUCAAGAACACACGGCUGACACUCAUGAACUCACAAACAUGUUUAAGAUCAAAAGCUAUUAACA